rnacentral:lncRNA from 1 species
AGAACCGCCUUCAGGCGUUUGGACUCAGUGGAGGUUGUGAGUGCCCAGCAGUGUGGCCUGAAUCUCCGUGGGGUUUAGGGAGACGAAAGGACCCCAGAUCGACGUCCCCUCGUUCCCACUUUGGGGAUCGGCGCUCUGGCUGUUUCGUGAAGGAGAGAGAGGUUGAUUCCAUACCCUGGCUAUUGUGAAUAAUGCUGCAGUGAACAUGGGAGUACAUACAUCUGUUUGAGGAACUCAGAGUGGUUUUCCAGAUGGGAAUCACAUUGCUCUCUGUCCCUGAGAUCUUGCUGGAGACAGGGCUACUCAGUCCCUCUUUGCCAGGUAAUCUGUUCCAGAAGAAACAUGUGUCGUUCUGACUGAGCCCCUGCCUGUCUGUCACCUUAAGAGCCAGUCAAUUCAUAUGGUCCCCAUAUCAAAGUCUCCUGUGCCCAGAGAGAGGAUUUCAUUUCAACCAUCACCAUCACCACCAUCAUCAUCAUCAUCACCAAGAGGUGUUGUUGAAUUGAUAUUGGAAAAGCAGUUUCUAUUGAGCCCCCAAAUGAAGAGUGAGUGCAGAUGAAGAGGAGGCAGGACUCACAAGCCCUUGACCUUCAUUCCAGAUCUGUUAGCACCUACAGGACCCUGCACCAGGAUUUCAUCUGUACUAUCAGCUUCUUCAAAGAGAGAGAGGUUGUUGAAUUGAUAUUGGAAAAGCAGUUUCCCAUUGAGUCUCAAAUGAAGAGAGUGCAGAUGAAGAGGAGGUAGGAGUCACAAGCCCUUGACCCUCAUGCUAGACCCAUUACCAUCCACAGGACCUUGCAGUGGGAUUUCAUCUGCACCAUCAGCUUCUUCAGAGAGAGAG